UGGGGAAUAUUGGACAAUGGGGGGAACCCUGAUCCAGCCAUGCCGCGUGUGUGAAGAAGGCCUUAUGGUUGUAAAGCACUUUAAGCGAGGAGGAGGGUACUGGUAUUAAUACUACCAGGUACUGGACGUUACUCGCAGAAUAAGCACCGGCUAACUCUGUGCCAGCAGCCGCGGUAAUACAGAGGGUGCGAGCGUUAAUCGGAUUUACUGGGCGUAAAGCGUGCGUAGGCGGCUAAUUGAGUCGGAUGUGAAAUCCCCGAGCUUAACUUGGGAAUUGCAUUCGAUACUGGUUAGCUAGAGUGUGGGAGAGGGUGGUAGAAUUCCAGGUGUAGCGGUGAAAUGCGUAGAGAUCUGGAGGAAUACCGAUGGCGAAGGCAGCCAUCUGGCCUAACACUGACGCUGAGGUACGAAAGCAUGGGGAGCAAACAGG
rnacentral:rRNA from 1 species